rnacentral:rRNA from 1 species
UACGGGGGGGGCAAGCGUUGUCCGGAAUCACUGGGCGUAAAGGGCGCGUAGGUGGCUCUGUAAGUUUGCGGUGAAAGCCCGGGGCUCAACCCCGGGUCGGCCGUGCGAACUGGUGGGCUUGAGCACUGUAGAGGCAGGCGGAAUUCCGGGUGUAGCGGUGGAAUGCGUAGAGAUCCGGAAGAACACCGGUGGCGAAGGCGGCCUGCUGGGCAGUAGCUGACACUGAGGCGCGACAGCGUGGGGAGCAAACAGG